AUACGGAGGGUGCGAGCGUUAAUCGGAAUUACUGGGCGUAAAGCGCGCGUAGGCGGUGGCGUGAGUCGGAUGUGAAAGCCCCGGGCUCAACCUGGGAAUGGCAUUCGAUACCGCGUCGCUAGAGUUUGGGAGAGGGAAGGGGAAUUCCGGGUGUAGCGGUGAAAUGCGUAGAUAUUAGGAGGAAUACCAGUGGCGAAGGCGACUCUCUGGACUGUAACUGACGCUGAGGUACGAAAGCAUGGGGAGCAAACAGGAUUAGAUACCCUGGUAGUCCAUGCUAUAAACGAUGAGUGCUAGGUGUUGGGAGGGACACCUCUCGGUGCCGAAGUUAACACAUUAAGCACUCCGCCUGGGGAGUACGGUCGCAAGACUGAA
rnacentral:rRNA from 1 species